GGUCUUCGGAUUGUAAAGUACUGUCUUUGGGGAAGAACGACUGGUUUGAAAAUAUUGAGUCAGUAUGACGGUACCCAAGGAGGAAGCCCCGGCUAACUACGUGCCAGCAGCCGCGGUAAUACGUAGGGGGCAAGCGUUGUCCGGAAUUAUUGGGCGUAAAGGGCGCGUAGGCGGAUUUUUAAGUCCGGUGUGAAAGAUCAGGGCUCAACCCUGAGAGUGCAUCGGAAACUGGGGAUCUUGAGGACAGGAGAGGAAAGUGGAAUUCCUAGUGUAGCGGUGAAAUGCGUAGAUAUUAGGAGGAACACCAGUGGCGAAGGCGACUUUCUGGACUGUAACUGACGCUGAGGCGCGAAAGCGUGGGGAGCAAACAGGAUUAGAUACCCUGGUAGUCCACGCCGUAAACGAUGAGUGCUAGGUGUAGAGGGUAUCGACCCCUUCUGUGCCGCAGUUAACACAAUAAGCACUCCGCCUGGGGAGUACGGCCGCAAGGUUGAAACUCAAAGAAAUUGACGG
rnacentral:rRNA from 1 species